CCGAACAGCCUGAGCCGCCUCGAUGGCGCCGAGCCUGCACUGAAGCUUGGGCUGUCCGUGUCGCGCGGAGACUCGUCUACAGUUUGGUCAUCAGAAAUGGUAUGAGCAAGCAAAGCUCGAGGAAAAUGUGAUUGUAAUCUCACGUGGCCUUGUCAUUGCCUGCUCCUACUUUCUGCUAUGAGGUUUCAAGUUCCCAAACGCCAGGAUCAAGAAUGGACCAGUACAGAGUUCCCUUUCAACGAUUUCCAACAAGUUCUUGAAUCAGAUCUCUCUUCUGUGCGUGUGGCGUGUGAUGAGAAUGCGUAUUGCGGAUGAUCUAAAUUGGAGCUUUUUUUCUUGUGGCGCACUGGCGAAGACUGACGUGAUGGAGAUCGAAGGUGACGAAGGAGAUGAUGGGGGAGAGAAACAGUGCAGAACUGCAGAUGACAUCCGUAUUGCUGACUGUACUGUAGCAGCAGGAGGAGAUGGGUGCCAGCCUUGGAGAAUCCUGCAGGAGGCUGAUGAGCAGGUGAAAGUGAAACGUGAGGCAGGUGCCAUUGCCAAUGGCAGUGCACGCCACACACAAGCAUCAGCAUCAGCAAAUUCAGCAGCAACAACCAACCAGCAACGCACGCAGCAAACAUCCACAGCAGCUGGCUCCUCCUUCCCCCACUCCAACAGUUUGGCAGCAGCAGCAGCGGCAGCUCGUUUCCUCGUCGCGUGCAUGCACAAUUGCAUAGAGUAUGCAGCUGCAGCCGCAGAGGUGAGUACUCCUGCGUCCCAUAGAAAAACUGGAUCAUAUGACAUCCUAAUACUACGAAUCUGAAUAUACAUAG
rnacentral:lncRNA from 1 species